rnacentral:rRNA from 1 species
UGAGGAAUAUUGGUCAAUGGGCGAGAGCCUGAACCAGCCAAGUCGCGUGAGGGAAGACGGUCCUAUGGAUUGUAAACCUCUUUUGCCGGGGAGCAAAGAGCGGUACGUGUACCGCGCCGAGAGUACCCGGAGAAAAAGCAUCGGCUAACUCCGUGCCAGCAGCCGCGGUAAUACGGAGGAUGCGAGCGUUAUCCGGAUUUAUUGGGUUUAAAGGGUGCGCAGGCGGCGCGUUAAGUCAGCGGUAAAAUUUCGGGGCUCAACCCCGACGAGCCGUUGAAACUGGCGUGCUAGAGUGGGCGAGAA